UACGAAGGGGGCUAGCGUUGCUCGGAAUCACUGGGCGUAAAGCGCACGUAGGCGGCUUGUUAAGUCAGGGGUGAAAUCCUGGAGCUCAACUCCAGAACUGCCUUUGAUACUGGCGAGCUUGAGUGCGGGAGAGGAGAGUGGAAUUCCCGGUGUAGCGGUGAAAUGCGCAGAUAUCGGGAAGAACACCCGUGGCGAAGGCGGCUCUCUGGAACGCAACUGACGCUGAGACGCGAAAGCGUGGGGAGCAAACAGG
rnacentral:rRNA from 1 species